AUUGAACGCUGGCGGCAGGCCUAACACAUGCAAGUCGAGCGGAUGAAGCGGGCUUGCUCCUGGAUUCAGCGGCGGACGGGUGAGUAAUGCCUAUGACUCUGCCUGGUAGUGGGGGAUAACGUCCUGAUACGGGCGCUAAUACCGCAUGCGUCCUGUUGGCGAAAGAGGGGGAUCUUCGGACCUCACGCUUUCAUAUGAGGCUAGGUCGGAUUAGCUAGUUGGUGGGGUAAAGGCCUACCAAGGCGACGAUCCGUAACUGGUCUGAGAGGAUGAUCAGUCACACUGGAAGUGAGACACGGCACAGACUCCGACGGGAGGAAGCAGUGGGGAAUCCUAGGCGAUGGGGGAGAGGGUGAUCCAGGCAUGCGGCGUGUGUGAAGAAGGACCUCGGAUGGGAAAGCACUGAAAGUUGGGAGGUAGUGCAGUAAGUUAAGACCGGGCGGUUUUGACGGUACCAACAGAAGAAGCACCGGCUAACUCCGUG
rnacentral:rRNA from 1 species